rnacentral:lncRNA from 1 species
UGUGGGCUCCGGACCUCACACCAGUGUGGCAGAUUCAACAAGCCCAGAAUAAGCCUCUUCCUUUGCUCACAAUAAGGUUUAUUAUAGAAGCAACAACUUCUGCAUACCAGAGGUGAGAGAUGCAGCAAUCCUCUCCGUGCUCAUGAAGCUUAAAAUUUGGGGGAGAAAGUAGAGAAAAGUUAAGCCAACUGCCUCUUCAUUCCUCAGUCACACUCCUCCUCUGACCCUGCUCCAGGAGGCUCAUCUUGUCAGACUUCACACUGAAUGAGCGCUGAGGAUGCUGUAGAGUAUGAGCUGUGUGCAGGAUUGCUAUCUUCUGGUCCUGUACUCCUCAAGCUCAAAGGCCAACGUCCUGGCAUUUGUGUGACGGCUUUUGCCCUACCCUGCAGAAUUUGCAAUAGGCAGUCUCUACAUGUACUCAGGGCCCAGUGGGCAUUCAACAUGUUCAUUGAAUGACAACUUUGGUGACAAGUUCCUUAUUUGCACAUAUGCUUUUGAGAUGUUUGCAACCAUUCUCCACCCCAGCCGGGUUCCCAUGUGGCCAUCUGGAAGUGAGCACACCAAACAGUCUUCAAAUAUCAUUCCAACCCCCUUCCUGUCUAAAUGUCCAAUACCAUUUGCUGAGACUGAAAAGAACGGAACCCACAGCUGUCCCCAGAGCUCAGUCACUUUGUGGUCUUGCUGGGAGCCACCACCAAUUGGCAGGACUCUUCCUGAUCAAACCCUAGAUGCUCUACCUUCCAGAUCUGAAGACUUUUUGACCCAGAUCCAAGUCUGAAAGCUCCUAUCUGCACAUAAUGUGAGCAACUCCUCUAUGAGAUCCCUUCUAUGAGUGCCAGUGAACACUGAUGCAUGCUGGGAAAUGCAAACCUCAAUCAAAUGUGAACUUUUAGCCUGUCCCUUUUCUCCACAGAUGGGGUGGCCCAGCAGUCACUCAACGAUAUGGCAGGUGUAGGUGAAGCAUAUCACCCCCCACUCCUUGUCGCCCCCGCAUCCCAUGACAAUCUUCAGCACUGAUGGGCUCCUUGCACUGACUCUGCCGUGGGCUGUUCUCCCUUGGGCAAAUCAGUCAACCUCUGGCCCUCAGUUUUCUCCGAAAAAUAGAUUAGAGAGGGCUGGCCUUUAAUCCCAGCACUUGGGAGGCAGAGAGGCAGGAGGAUAUCUCUGAGUCCUAGACCAGCCUCAUCUACAUAGUGAGUUCUGGGACAGUCAGGACUAUAUGAAGAAACCUACUCUCGGCAAAGAGAGAGAGAGAGAGACUUCAAAAGGCACAGCUGCUUCAGCGGUGUGCACAGAGCCUACCUCAGUGAAUGUCUAAAAUAUCUAAAAAUAUUUUUAUUGCAUUUUCCUUUAAGGUUUCAAAAGCAAUUUGUGCCCCUGAAACAAGCCAACCAGCAGAGAAGGAACAAAAGAAACAUGGUGUCUUCUACCUCCAGCCUUGAAGCUUCCAGACCUCCCUACACGAACCCCCCCCCCACACCCACUCCCCGAAAUGAUGUCCCAGUGAAGAGCCAGGCUCUUAUCCUUCCAUCCAUGCCUCUCAGGCGUCUGCUUCAUUUAGCAUGUAUGUGCAUUUUACCAGGUUAAUGCAACACAGACUAUUUCCUAGUAGCUGUGAAGCCCAGUGUAGCCUCUGCUGCCGGACACAUGGUUUGUCUCCAGUCUUUCCCUUCCCAGCAAAGCAGCCUUGACUCAUCUCCUUUCUCUAUGACAGAGCCCUUUAGAAUGUACUCACUGGGCCAACGAUGCAGUUUCAAUUUGGGUUUUUAAUGGAAGUGGGUGGCUAGGUAAGUGGGUUGAAUGACUGACUGAUUCUGAAUAGCUCUGAAUUUAUUGAGCUGCUUCCAGGAAGGUCCAGGUGACCUGGGUAGCAGAAAGGACACCCAUUCCUGUUUGAUGGUGUUUUUUUUCUAUCUAUCAUCCUUCCUGUCUUUCCUUCUUUAUUUCUUUCUGGGUGAGACAGGGUCUUAUAAUACAGUUUCAGCCAGCCUGGAACUCAUUAUGUAAACCAGGCUGGUCUCCAGCUCAUGGAGAUGAGCCUGCCUUUGCUUCCCAUGUACUGAAAUUAAAGCCCAGCUUGUUUUUUUCUCUUUACCACACUGGGGAUUCAACCCAAGGCUAGUAAGCACCCUGGCACUGAGUAUAUUCUGGACCUCUUCUUAUUUUAAUGUUGAUGUAGGGUCCUGCUAAGUUUCCCAGACUGACCUUCAACUCACUAUGCAAGUCCAGGCAGGCCUUGAACUCACGAUCCUCCUGGUUCAGCUUCCUGAGCUGAUGAGUGGCAGGCACCAUUAGUCUCAUUCGGAAGGAUGUGCUUCAUCCUUGGUGAAAGCGCUCAUCUCUUGUCUUGGCUGGCUAGAAUUUCCAGGGUGAAGAAAGGAGGAUUAGAAAAGUUCAAGGUCACCCUCCCCUACAUAGAGAGUUCAAGGCCAGGCUGGGCCACAUGAGAAAAACCAAAAGAACAGAUGGUGUUAGCAGGAGGUAGGGAAGGAGUAGGGAGGUCCAGCCCUGGGUGGGGCAGAGCCCCUGCUAAAGACAAGGGACAUUCCUUAGUGUCAACUUUCCCUUAGGAUGGAGAGGAGGGGUUGCUAGCUCGUCACACCCCACAGCCCUGGAGGACAGGAGCUUACUGUUGAGUUAGUGGGGCAGAGUCGGGGAGAGGCUGUCAUUUCGGCAGCCCUGGUACAUGGAGCCACUAGCAGGCUUCUUCGUCUCAUGUCUUCAUCCGCACCACCUCCUAGCAGCCUGCCCUCCCCAACUUGUCCACUUAAAGCCUGGGCCAGUGAGAUGACUCUGCAGAUAAAGGUAUUGUCACCCAGCCUGAGGACCUGAGUUCAAUUUCUGGGUUCCAUAUGAUGGAAGGAGAGAACUGAGUCCCUUAACUUGAUCUCUAACCUGCACAUGUGGAUUGUGAAUGGGCUUAUGUGCCCACACACCCUCUCUCUCACACAAUAAACAUAAGUAAUAAAUGUAUACAUGCAUAUACACAUACAUAAUACACACAUACAUACAUGCUUGAAUGCAUACAUACGUUCGUAUGUAUGUCCUUGCCACUCUCUUGGAACCUGACUCCUACAGAAUGUAACCUUGAUUUGUGCUCCAGGCUCACUUGACACCUGGCUUCUGUGGCUUGUUCGAGUCCUCUGUCUCCCAGACAAUGAGCUAGGAUUCUGGUCAUUCAGGUUCAGCCUGGGUGCAGAGAGUUUUGAGUGGGCCUGUCCACUGGAGACCACUCCUCUCGUCACCCAUGAAGCAUCUAAAGUUAAGUAUGAUGGUGCAGACCUGGAAUCCCAGAAUUCAGGAGGUGGGGGCAGGGAUUUCUAAACUCAGAAGUCAGCCUGAGCUAUCUAGAGAGAUGCUGUUUCAAAAAUUUAAAACAGCCGGGUGUGGUGGCACACGCCUUUAAUCCCAGCACUCGGGAGGCAGAGGUAGGCGGAUUUCUGAGUUCGAGGCCAGCCUGGUCUACAAAGUGAGUUCCAGGACAGCCAGGGAUAUACAGAGAAACCCUGUCUCGAAAAACCAAAAAUAAAAAAUAAAUAAAACAAAACCGAACAACCACCAUCCAGGUUUUUCUCUCAGCACCUCACUAUUUCUGAGGUGACCUUGGACUUGCUGACUUCUAAUUCCCAGGCUCUAAGCAUCCCCCAGGCAACAUGAUGCAGACUUUAGAAGGCCUUCUCUGUUUCCAUUAAAAACAUUAUAUACAAUAUAUUUUAAUCAUAUUUUUCCUUCCUCCCUACCCCUCCCAGAUGGUCCCCACCUCCUUGCCACCUUCCCCACAGUUUCAGGAUCUCAUGUAGACCGAGCUUGUCUCACACUGCUGUGAAGCCAAAAGUGGCCUGAACACUGGAAUGGCAGGUGUACAUCACCACCUGGUUAUCCUAGCUGGGGGACUGAGCCCAGAGCUUCCAUACUAGACAAACACACUGCUGCCUAUUGAACCUUUUCCCCAACCCCUGCCCUAUUCCUACACUUGGCAGGAGCCUGGAAUACAGCUGUCACUCAGCAUUUACCAUAAGCAAAGAGAAAACAGCCCACGCUGCCUUGAGAACAGCCCAGGGUGAGCGUAUGACCUCCAGCGUCUGUGUCUCCACAGCAUUGUCACAGUCCCCCUUGCAACAUCUGGGUUGCUUCACUAAGCUAGCCUGUCACUUCAAAGCAAGUGACCUUGGGGAAGAGAAGGUGACAUGGCUUUAGGAGAGGAAAGUACACUUGCCUGUCCACUAAGCAACCAAGGGCAGACCAAACCAAUGGGGUGGGCCUUGUCAGACUGAGUCCACAAGGGGGCUGGCCACCUUCCUGAGUCCCAUCAAAUCAGAUCUGCUUCUCAGUGAUCAUCAACAGCCCCCAUAAGCAUAGCACCAGCACCUAAAGUGAUUCCCCUUGAUCCUGCCUGAGCCAGUUUCUUGACCACCCCCUCCCCACCUCCACACUGGGUACUCCGUCAUGUUAUCUAUCCAUACAUUCAUUCAGCAAUUACUUACUGAGUGUAUGCCAGGCAAGAUGGAGUUCAGGAGGAUGCAGUGGGGAUCAGAGAACACCCUGACUCCAGGUCUCACAACACCUAGACAUGUCCACAUGAUAUUCCAGGAACCUGUGUGUCAGCUUUAUGGCAAAGGGAGUUUACAAAGGUGGUUAAGUUAGAAAUUUUGAGAUUGUGUUUAAUCAUCUAAGUGGA